rnacentral:rRNA from 1 species
UACGAAGGGGGCUAGCGUUGUUCAGAUUUACUGGGCGUAAAGGGCGCGUAGGCGGAUUUUUAAGUCAGGGGUGAAAUCCCAAGGCUCAACCUUGGAACUGCCUUUGAUACUGGGAAUCUUGAGUUCGAGAGAGGUAAGUGGAACUGCGAGUGUAGAGGUGAAAUUCGUAGAUAUUCGCAAGAACACCAGUGGCGAAGGCGGCUUACUGGCUCGAUACUGACGCUGAGGCGCGAAAGCGUGGGGAGCAAACAGG